GAGCCGGCUGGUACACGGGAGGCGCGAAGAUGGAGGAGACGACGCUGGACCCUCUGCUGAUGAUGAGGACAGAGUCACUUGGAUACAUAUUUUCCAGUCCCUGCAAAAUGUGAGUGCUAUUUAUUCCAAGUGCAUAAGCAGCGGGCACUGAACCAAUUAUGAGACAACCACCUCGCAGACAAUGCAAGGACCUCAUUUCCUGGGUAGCUUUUGUAUUUCUCCCUGCUUUGGAAACUGUAAAACGCUGUCAGCAACAUCAAAUGUGUCAUCUUCCUGGAGCUGUAAAACCAUUCAUGACACACUGGAUUCUGCAUUCACACCGUCCAGGGAUAAGAUAUUUCCGGGUAAAUAUACCAUGUCAACAUUUACCUGUGAUUACGCCUGAAGACGCAGUUCGUAAAGCCAGGAGGAUUCGGCACCCUUCCUCUUGGCCAGCCUUCCUGGGAGAGUCAGGCCUGCUGUGACCAGAAAGCCACUGACCACAGGGCCUUUGCAUGGCCCUUCCCUGGGUCCAGAAUGUUCUUCCCCAUAUGCCUGCAUGACCCCUCCCUCUCAUUCAGACCUUACGCCGACACCUUCCCUGCCCCUCUCUGUGACAUCUUGUCAUUUCUCUAGCCCUUCCCUCACUUCAUUUUUCUUCAAAACCCCUCUCCCUGGAGUUCUCGUCGUGGCUCAGCGGUUAAUGAACCUGACUAAUAUCCAAGAGGACGUGGGUUCAAUCCCUGGCCUCGCUCAGUGGGUUAAGGAUCCAGCAUGGCGGUGAGCUGGGGUGUAGGUCACAGAUGUGGCUCAGAUCCCGCAUUGCUGCAGCUGUGGUAUAGGCGGGCAGCUGUAGCUCCGAUGUGACUCCCAGCCUGGGAACCUCCUUUUGCUGCAGGUGUGGCCCUAAACAAACAAAACGAAACCAAACCAAAGCCCUCUCUCUGCCGCACAGCAUCUGCGUUUCCGUCUCCUGCACGAGGAUGGGAUUCCAUUAGCAGCACAGACUUUCUCAAAGCCCUCUCCCUCCAGCAUCUAGACUUGCACCAGGGCAAGACAAUAAAUAUUUAUGGUCUGAUGCUGUCCACUUGCCUAGAUAUUUUCUAUGGGUUCUUAGACAUUCCAUCAAAGAUGAUGAGUACAUUUAAUUUCCCACUCCAGCCCUGGGAAGAGGUGAUUCUUAGGUGGGAUAAGACAUCAGAACACAUUUCUACAUGAAGCCUUCUCUCUCUCUCUCCCCAUUUUUUUUUUUUUUUUUUUUGGCCGCCCUGAGGCAUAUGAAGUUCCCAGGCCAGGGGUCAGAUCUGAGCAGGCAAUGCUGGAUCCUUAACCCACUGCUCUGGGCCUCGGAUGGAAGCUGCGUCCCAGCUCUCAGAGACGCCACCAAUCCCACUAUGCCACAGCGGGAACUCCCAUCUUGUUCAGAAAGGGCUUUAAGGUAGCUUGCUGAGAUCUUUAAAAUUCCUCAGGAAGUAAAAUCAUUUGGAAGUCUGUAAGGAAAAUGAGGCACAGGGGAAAGAAGGUUCUGGAAGUAAGAUGAUGAAAAGUAGUAUUCGGUCCUUCCUGAAUGGUGGCCGUGAGGAAGACAGGGGGUGCCUUGCCCGCUCUGGUUCACCUGCUCUCCAGCACGACAUGAUGGAUCCCAUUUGACAGAUAAGGACACUGAGGCCAGGAAGGAAGAGGCUCGGGCUCAGGAUCACUGAGCUGGCAAAAGCCAGGUGGGUGUGAGUCAGUCGUCUCUUAGCGGAUGGGACCGCCUGUGUUCUUGUUCCUGAUGCCUGGAUCGAGGAAUGUGGGGUCACCUGUGGGUGGCACAGAGCACCUGCAAAGGGCACCUCCCCAAGCCAUCACGAGCCUCCCAGCUAUCAACUCAAAGAGGGAAAUAAGAGCCAUUCCGCCAUUCAGUGUCCAUGAAAUAAGGCCACACCAGCUGCUCAGAAGGAACAUGCCCUGGACCAGCAGCCUCCGGGCACGAGUACCAGUUUCACUUUGCGCAGACUAGGAUUCCCGCUGCAGGCAACAGCCAUCCUCCAUCUGGAAAAGAAGGUGAUGGAAGGCCCUUGUGAGAGGCGGGAAUGAAGGCAGCUGGGAGGCCACCAGUGGGAAGGGCAGGUGUCCUACCCCCCAGGCUGCUGCUGGAUGCCCCGGACGGUGCCACGGGACAGUGCCACGCUGUUCAAGAGAUUCCCAACCCUGCCUCUUUGGUCCAGAGGCCGGGCCACUCACGGGCACGUCUGAUUGGCCAAGCCUGGGUCACAUGUCCGUGGCCCAGUUGCUAUGGAUACAGACCCGGAGGACUUCCCACCCACUUCCGUAGGAGUGGAUUCCUCCCCAUUGAUACCACACACAGAACAGCUGCAAAUAGGAAAAGGAGUGAGCUGGGCAGCCCCCUCCCCAAAAUGACCAAGUCCCCCACCACAUCCUGUCUGAGGAUUCCCCAGGACAGGCCCCCGUGGGGUCCACUGACAACCAGAGGCUCCGGCUGCCUGAGAAGCUGGGAGGGAGGGGCUGGUGCCUUUCUAUGUAAAUGAGGCCCCUGAGCUCUGGGGGCAGCAGAGCCCCCCAAAGGCAGGCCCACCACCCCCUGCAGGGGGCAAUGUGGGCCCCUCUGGCACAGACUCAUGGGUGCGUGGGGGAUCCUUGGCAACUCAUCAAAGCAUCUCUAUGGCGUUUCUCAUGAACACACAGCUCUGGGGGGCUGACUCUGCCCCCCCAGCACUCUCCAGGACAAACUGCCCCCCACAGCCUCUCUGGUUCCAGAACCAACGAGAUUGACAUACGCCAGUGAGAAGCUGGCACCGUCCACCAGGUGGGUGACUCGCCUUUCAGAUGUUCGUUCCAAACCCACCGGCUGGCAGGGACAGAGCAGCUCGGAGCAGUUUGUUUGUUUUAGUUUGUUCUGCUUUGUUUGGUUUACUAAGCGGUGCACGUGGUCGGGGUCACAGCAUUCAAACGCUGUGCCCUGAGAAGCCUGUCUGCCCCGCUCCCUCGCUGCCCGGCUCUGCCCUGUGCCCGGAGAGGAGGGCAGAGGCCAGCCGUCAGGGACUGUCCAUUUGCCCCCCUGACCCUCUGGAUUCUGGACGUGCUUGGCCAUGGGGAACAGAGGACGAGAGAGAGGCGCUGGGCAUCGAUUCUGCCGGCCACUCCUGCCGGGCCAGGUCCCUCUGCUGAAGGCCACAGUGCCACCAGGCCGCCCUCUCCUCCAGCCUGGCCCUCUGAGGCCUGGCCCCAGCCCCCAGCCCCACCCGUCCUUGGGUAUCGGCUCCCCACUGAUGCCAGGGUGCCUCGCCGGCUCUGGCUGUCUCCUCUAACCUGCCCACGCGUCUGUAAACUCCUCUUUCAUUAGACUUGUCGUGGGCUGGACUGUGUCCCCCAGAUUCGUGCGCUGAAGCCCUGAUCCCCAGGGCCUCAGAAAGUGACAAUUAUCAGGAGGCGAGGCCUUCAAAGAGAUGAAUAAAGUCAAGUGAGGUCACCGAGGUGGGGCCCCAAUCCCUCAGGACUGGGGUCCUCAGAGCAAGAGGAUGUCAGGACACACAGAGGGACGGCCCUGCGAGGACACGGGGAGGACACGGCCGCCUACACGCCCAGGAGAGAGGCCUCGGGAGGGACCAGCCCUGCCCACCCCUGGGGCUCAGAUUCCAGCCUCCAGGACUGGGGACAGUGAAUCCUGCUGUUGAAACAAACCCCCACCCGUCCUAUUUGUUAUGGGGGCCGCACGAACACACACAAGCCCCUCUGGAGGGAGCCGACUGUUUGCUGCUGGGGCCGUUUCGAAUCUCGGCUUAGAAGGGGCUGGGCCUGCGCGGGCCCACCGCCUCCUCAUCCCGCCCUCGGAGAUGCGAGCCCCAGUGCCCUGGUUACCCCAGACCACGGAGGAGAAACCGAGAAAGGGCAGCCGCCCUCUCGCCCAAUGUGGUCCCAAUUUCUUUAGAUCGAAAUUAAAAGAGGGGCUUGGGACACGGCGCUGGAUGCUCCCUGACCUGUCAAGCCAGCCUUGGCACUGGUGGUGCCACAGGGGUCCUGCGCCGGAGCAUGGAAGUGGCUGGAAGGGGGCCUCCAACCCAAAACAACUCCGGUCGCCACCAUCAAAGACACGGAAACGGUAAACGUGCUGCAAACCCUUGGCUGUUGCUCUAGGCCCCACGAUGUGGCCGUGGGGGGCCUCAUCCUGCGCGAAGCAGCUGGCUCCCCGAGCAGGGCACCAAGGCCAGGCCUGCCUUGCUUUAGGCAUGAGCUUGCUGACCACAGGGGUGGCCGUGGGGUGGGCAGCAAGGCUGCCCUUUCAAAAUGGGACACAGCACAGCCCACCCGGUGGGCCCGACCAGCAGGCUACCCCCGAUCUGAUGCCUGCCUGUGUGAGAUGCAUGAAUCCAGCGCAUCAUAAGAGGAGCAGAAGGGUGGCCUGGGGACAUGACUUCCAGGACAAAGGAACGGACUCCGGGCAGGGCUGUCCCGCGGAUGACCAGCCCUGUGCAGGCGGCUCCAGAGCACCGUGGGGGGAGCGUCGCCGCGGCUCUGGGCGCUUUGCAGGUAUCUGAGGUCAGAGUUUCGCUCAGCCGUCUCAGAUUCCCUUCGAAAGUCUGGGAAAGCGUUAUCUCGCCUCGGAGGGGAGGGUCAGUGAGCAGCCCCCUCUCUGAGUGGCUGUGGCUAGCAUCUGUGGCUGAAAAGGGAAGGAAAGCCGCCCCAAGGGGCCUCCCCAAUGGCAGGCAUUUUCUUUCUCUGGGAAUCGCUGCCUCCCCACCCACAUCCGAAGGAGCUGGCAUUUGGGACACCACCGUCCCCUUGUGCAGAAGACCCCGUGUGACACUGAGCCUUCCAGCCACUGGAUGCACCGUUUGUGCUCAGCAAGGCCCUGCAAUCCGAUGGUGGUAUCUAAGCUUUUGUUGGCCGAGCACCUGGAAAAAGCCGAGCCGCAAGGAGCAGAUUCCCUGCAAGACGACAGAUGCCUUCUUGAUUGUCUUAAUUUUCAAACGAAACUGCACGGGAAGCGAUACUUCUCCGGAACCAUUUCACCAUCAACUCUGAGGUCUCCACGGAGGACCCGCUGAGUAUCCCCUGGGCCCUUGGGGGUGAAAAUCCGCCAGGUGCUUCGAUGUACAGAGAAAUCUACACGCCUCCAGCCACUUAGAGACACUCUGGGGCUUGUCAUCGCCCCUUUCUUUUUUGCCAAGAGCCUUGGCAUCGAUGUUACUUACUCUGAAAAGGGGGGGGGGCUGUUUUCUUUGAUGGGGCAGUGAGCGUAAAUAUUUGCCCCAUUAAUUAGAUUCCACUUAAUUCCCCAAACUCAAACAAUAUGGGCAGCCUUUCAGCGUAAACAGGCCACAAGAUGUUACUCAUACCUGGAAAGGGGGCAGCUGAGAGUCUUCCCCCAGGCCUUCUGCCCGCAUCAUCCUGCAAACAAACAAACGGACAAAGGUUGAGCAGAGGCCAAGGAGCCCGGAGCCCGGAUUUUGGACAUAGAAAAUAAAAGGGACUAAUUAUAGGUUGCUUCUCCUGUUUCCAUAGCCUGUCAGCCAUAACAAGAAGUUCCGUCAUCAUGUGUUGCAACAAGUGUGUCUGGUCCAUCCAUGUGGCUGCCAAAUUUGGAGAGUCACGCUGGAAAGAGUUCGGGAGUGGAUUGGAAAGUUCUAGAAUCAGCAGUUCCCAUCAUGGCUCAGUGGUACCAAACCCAACUUGUAUUCGUGAGGAUGCAGGUUUGAUCCCUGGCCUUGCUCAGUGGGUUAAGGAUCCAGCAUUGCUGUGAGCUGUGGUCUAGGUCUCAGACGAGGCUGGGAUCUGGUGUGGCUGUGGCUGUGGUGUAGACUGGCGGCAA
rnacentral:lncRNA from 1 species